UACGAAGGGGGCUAGCGUUGCUCGGAAUCACUGGGCGUAAAGCGCACGUAGGCGGAUUGUUAAGUCAGGGGUGAAAUCCUGGAGCUCAACUCCAGAACUGCCUUUGAUACUGGCGAUCUCGAGUCCGGGAGAGGUGAGUGGAACUCCGAGUGUAGAGGUGAAAUUCGUAGAUAUUCGGAAGAACACCAGUGGCGAAGGCGGCUCACUGGUCCGGUACUGACGCUGAUGUGCGAAAGCGUGGGGAGCAAACAGG
rnacentral:rRNA from 1 species